CCUAGCAAAGAGCAGAGCAGUGUCAUAUUCAAGUUUCCUCAGUCUCCUGAGCUUCCUUUCCUUAUUAGCCAAGGAAACAGGUGAUGUCUCUCCAAAAUGGAUGAGCCAUGAAGUUUCGCCAGUGGAGCUGCUGAUCUGUUGAAAAAGAAGCCGUUUAUAGUAUUUUGGAGCAAACUUCCUACUUCAAUUCUAUGGCUCUGGACAGAAACUCACCA